rnacentral:misc_RNA from 1 species
AAGUCGUAACAAGGUUUCCGUAGGUGAACCUGCGGAAGGAUCAUUAACACGUAUCCAAACGUUAAACCCCCCCUGUGAACCUUCAGUGUACUCCAGCAAUCCCUGGUAAAUCAUCGCCGAACAGUUUUCGAUUCAGGGACGUCUGCAAGGAGCGUGCAUGUUGUGCGAAGCAAGUGGCCUGGCAUCCCCAAGCAGUUAGUGUCUGAAAGUGUCAUUAACUGUGUAAGGAUGACGCAGUCACGAUCGUUGGAGGCCCACACGGCCGACGACCGGGUCACUGGGCGCAAGCCCCCCUAUAACAAACGCUGCUAAUCGCGGCCGCGAUAAUACGCAGUCGACCAAAAACCGAACAACUGUUAACAAUGGAUAUCUUGGUUCUC